ensembl:lncRNA serine-rich adhesin for platelets-like
GCUCAUUUCUAGAAAUCCAAAAGGUUUAAAAAUGUCUUUUGUUGUUGUUGUUGUUGUGGUAAACCAUCUUUACUCCAUGAUCUCUGAAUAAUUCACAUCACUUUGAUCAGGUUUUCAUCUGAUGGGAUUCGGUGAGCUUGCAGGAUACCAUGUGGCGUAAUGCAGCAUUCCUGCUCUUCUGGGGAAUCUUGAACUCCUACUUUCCUCCGGACUGCUGCCAAACCGACUCUAAUUUUACUACCAGUUCUUCUCCAAACCUUUACAUGACUGUUUCUCAAAGCACUGCAUCUCAAACAAUGGAGCCCUUAACCAAUGGGAGCAGUUCUUCAGGAAGCGCUAAAACAACUAGCAUGGACACAUCAACGACAUCCGAGACACCUACACUGACUCCGAGUCAUGAGGAUGAAAAUGAACCCGACCAAACCUCACACAUAUCCAAUUCUUGGACCACUGGAACAUUAACUGGUACCCAAAAACCUGAGCCAACAACUGAAACCUCAACCAACAGAGAGCAGACGGCAUUUUCUGAAUCAACAAUUACAGCGAUCUCCCCUACAACAACUCCCGACUCGAGUUCAUCCAUCUUCACAACAAGCUCAGAACCAAACCACCUCACUAUCAGAAGUACAACCGAGACUUACUCCACCAUUCAAGCCACUACACAACCAAUGAACACUUCUGUCUCACCAAUAAACUACCAAAGCACUGCAACUCAAACAAUGGAGCCCUUAACCAAUGCCACUUCACAUGGGAUCAGCUCAACAGAAAGCACUACAACAACUAGCACGGACACAUCAAUGACAUUGACUCCGAGUCAUGCAAACAAUGAUUCAAUUACCACCACUGUUUCCAAUACACAGAAUGAUGCAGAGCAAACCUCAAACAGCAAUAUAUCUAUUUCUUGGACUGCUGGAGCAUUAAAUGGUACCCAAAAACCUGAGCCAACAAUUGAAAGAAGUGUCAUAAAACAGACGGAAUUUUCUGAAUCAACAACAACAAUGAUUGCACAUACAACAACAACUACAGGCUCUUCAUUUCCAUCCCCUGUUGCGUCCUCUGGAACAUCACGCUCCGCUACGACGACAACACAACAGCUUGAGUCAUCAGACCAUACUCAAGUCUCCAUCACAUCAAAUGAAUCGACAGCAACAACGAUUGCCCCUACACCAACUCCAGACUCGAGUUCAUCCAUCUUCACAACCAGCUCAGAACCAAAUCACUUCGCAACGAGAAGCACAACCGAGUCUUACUCCGCCAUUCAAGCCACUACACAACUGAAGAACACUUCUCUCAGUGACACUUCUGACUCACCAUCAAUCUACCAAUCUACAAAUGAAUUAGAUACUACGUCUUUCAGCCACCUGCAAACACAGAUGUCUCAAACAAUUGCUGCUGCCUCUGCACUACUUCAGUCUACAUCGUCGCAAAUCACACCAACUAAUGCAAAGAUUACAGAGCCUUCUGUUACAACCUCAACUUCCUCCAGCAGAAGUGUCACAGAUCAGACGGCAUUUUCUGAAUCCACAAGGACAAUGACUGCAGGAUCUUCAUUUCUGUCCUCUGACGCAUCUUCUGGAACAUCACACUCCACUGCGAACACAUCACAACAGUCACCAGACCACACUCAAGCCUCCAUCACAUCAGAUGAUUUGGAUUCUACGUCCAUCACGGCAGAGCCAUCAUUUACAACCUCAACGUCAGCUACAAAUACAAAGCAAACUUCCCAAAGUGCAACAGAGCCGACGGAGGAAUCAUUAACAACUGACCCACAGGAUGACACAACUGAUACUGAAAUAGCAUCGACUAUCAAAACACCUGUGGAAUCGACUACAAAUGCAAUUUCAGCCGUCGACGACACUGCAUCAGCCACAGAAAAUAACACCGAACAUUUAACUGAUGUGUUUUGGUCCUCUUCUGAUAACACAACAUGGAAUGAGUUUACAUUGACAGAUGACUUCAAUAGCACACUGAUAACCUUAAAUGAAACAACAUCUCAAUCAGAAAGUCUGCUAACUGACGGUCAAGAAACUCUGACACCUGUGAUGGAAUCGCAAUCAUCUCAGUCCGCAACAACUGACGCAACUCUAAAUCCAAGUCUGGUUACUUCCUCAGACUCAACAACACUUGUUGAGACCUCGAGCCCUGUCAUAGCGACGCAAGUUACAGCUACACCUAAAAUCCCCAACCCAGAGCACUCGCAAACACCUGUAACUGCUUUCACAGCAUCAACAUCUACAACAACGCUAACGCCGGGAACAGUUUCAAGACAAGCAAUGACACCUGAUUCAAAGCCCACAUCUAUGAACACGCCCUCAAUGUAUCUGACCACUCAAGAAAAUCUGAAAACGAACACAAACGCCUCCUUAAACCCAUUUUCUCCAGCAUCUCCUCUCACUGCCACAAGCAAUGACCCUAAACCUGUCACCACUCCAUUAGCCGAGGAACACAAAGGCUCAACUGUGGGCAUAUCAAUUCAAACAGCGCUAAAGAGGUCUGAUUCAGAAGGCACUACAAUCACAGACACUUGGUCAAACAGCAUAUCUUCAACACCAGCAGGUCUAACAAACCCACCAUUAUCAAGCAACACCAGCAGAGACGGAAACGCAGAUGAUUCUGCAAACUCAGUGAAAAGCACCAUUGUUUUUGUCUUCAACAUUCCCAAAGUACCUGUGUUUAAAACAAUCACCUUCAAUCACCCACUGGUUAAUCAAGUCACAGUCAUGAACACAGUUUUAAGACCAUGAAACGGUCACAUAAAAUGACUUAAAAGCAAAGUGUGUGAUUCAGAGAGCAUAUAUUUGGCUCCUUGUGUACGUGACAAUUGUGAAAGAGUCAAUAAGAGAAACUUCCAGCUAAAUGCAUCUUAAUGGAGAGAGAUUGGGAAUAUAAGGAAUGUAGAAGCCGAAAUGUUUUUGUGGUUACUUAACAGACAGGAAGGCAAUGUCAAUUAUUUCAACGUCAAGCAGAUCAUACUGUAUGACUACAUGCUUUAAAACAAGCCAACAAACAAAAAAAAAGAUUGAAACCAAAACAAAUGAGAUGGAAGAACAGGUGUAAUGUUUUAUGAAGACUAACUUUCAUUUCAACAAUCCAGGUAGGGGCAAACAAUUGACGCGUGAGUCUGUAGCAUAGCUUCUUAAUCAUUUAUUUUCGCAAAACAACAAUCCAUAAGAUCAACAGUUGAACCAUAUCUUCACCGCUAAACAUUAGCACACACAGCCACAUGAACACACGGUCUGAAAAUCGCAUCCGCUUCCCCCUACUCACCCCACCUACUUCCUUACCUACACUAAAUACACAAUUGCAAUAAUGUAAUAAGAGUCUCAAUUGAAAAUUUCAUAACAUUCAAUCCAAAUACUCAAACACAAAUAAUAAUGAUCAAACAUAAACUUAAUUAUAUUCAAAUUAGUAAAUCAGUCCAUUCAGUCCAAAAUAUGAAAAUAGAAAAAGAAAUGGCUCCAACAGGUUUUAUAUGUUAGUUUGUAUUCUAUUCGCUGUAGUGUUACAGGUUUAAAUUAUGCAAUGUUUACACUCAACGAAAAUCAUACAUGCAUAUAAACAAUAACAUGCAAAACCUUUUGCUCUUUGUACUUUUUCAGCUCUUUUGUCGCUUACAUACUCAUUGUGUACUUUCAUUUUGAAAUUGUGUUUUAUGAAUAUUGUUGGCUCCUACGACAAAUUGCUAUAAAAUCAUCUGCUGAAUAUUUCUUAAGACUGCAUGUUUAGGGAGGAAUGUAUUGUUGCAUAUGUAUAUCUAGUUUGGUUAAAAAUUGAAUGCAUUAACAAUGCAACACCACUUGAGUGACAGCUAUGCGUUGUGUCGUGACUCCAAACAGAGCUAAUAAAAACAUGCACUUUCAGGACAGCAUGAGUUUACAUGCUUUUAUCAAGGGACUUGCAACUUCACCUUUGUGUAAGAAAUUGCACUUGGGUAUAAAAUGGAUUGGGUGAUUUUGACUUGUUUAAGUAUUACUAUAGCCAUACUUUCUGAUUUAUACUCAUAACCAUUUAUAUUAGUUUAUUUGGCCCCACUUUAUACUAAGUGGCCUUAACUACUAUGUACUUACAUCAAAAAAUAAGUACAAUGUACUUACUGUGUUCAUAUUGUAUUGCAAAACACUUUUGCUGCUAUUGAGGUGGGAUACGGGUAGGUUAGGGACAGGUUUGGUGGUAUGGGUAGGUUUAAGGGUGGGUUAAGGUGUAAAGGAUGGGUCAACUGUGUAAUUAUAAAUGUAAUUACAGAAAUUAAUUACAGAUGUAAUUACAUGCAGGUAUUUUUAAAAUAUAAGUGCAAUGUAAAAACAUGUAUGUACACAAUAAGUGCAUUGUACCAAAUUAUUAAUUUAAAUGUAAG